rnacentral:lncRNA from 1 species
UCCAGCUCUUCCCGCUUAGAAAGAUCUAACUUUGGCAGCAGCUCUUUAAUAUAAGAAGGAUCAUGGCAAGGGAUGUACUCGUUGAAUUUCAAAGGGCAUACAUUCAACCCAGUUUCUGGAAUCUGAAUUGGGCUUUUUCGAUAAGAAAGGGCAACUUGGUUUGUAAAUGAAGAACUUGCUAGCAUGAAAUAAUCAGAAAAUAGGAUUCAAAACUCAAUUCAAUGCCUAAAAUGCAAAAUAUAAUGCCAAUCGCUCUAAGGACUAACAGAAGGAAUAUUACAUCAUCAUUAAACCUCAAUCCCUUAUUAUAAUUUUGUAACUAAAUUUGAAGACAUUUUUCAACGAAAUGAAAGCAAAUUGGUGAUAUGGUAAAUAGAGGACGUUAGACCCACAAUCAUUCGUCUGAACAACCAUAUAAAUUCAAUAAAAACAUCAAAUGGUAAAUAACAUUGGUACAAUAGUAACUGUUUAUUUAUACACACACUUACAACUCCCUCCGUUCCAAAAAAAAUAGAGAUGCAUUUUAGCUUUUCAAUUGAAUUUGCAGAAUUAAAAAAAUAAUCCAAAGCAUUAAGAAUUUAGUUGAUUUUAAUACAAACCACUGUUGCUAUUGUAAACUAACCAAAAAAAAGUAGUACCAAUUACAUUAUUAGUAGGCUUCAAAACGUAAAUGAUUCAAAUAAAUUUAGAAUUUUUAGCAAAUUGACUUAAAAAGUUAAAAUAUAUCUCAAACAGGGUAGUAGUAUUAAAGUAAAAACGCUUACUUGAUAAUGUCAGUGAGCUGAAUCAGAGUUGAUAUACAGAGAGAGUACUAACCAGGCUCAGGGAAUGUUGAAGAAGAAGAAGAAAAAUUGGUGGUGGUGGAGGAGGAGGAGGAGAACUGUUGAGGAACAAAACUGGAAGAAUUGUGAGAGAAUAGGGUUCCGGCGUAAAAUGAAGCGAUCAUUACAAAGAGAGCUAUCAAUAGUAUCUGCCCCGUCUUGGAAUCGAACGCCGAUGAUGUCCACAG